AGGGAAUCUUCCGCAAUGGACGAAAGUCUGACGGAGCAACGCCGCGUGAGUGAUGAAGGCUUUCGGGUCGUAAAACUCUGUUGUUAGGGAAGAACAAGUACAAGAGUAACUGCUUGUACCUUGACGGUACCUAACCAGAAAGCCACGGCUAACUCCGUG
rnacentral:rRNA from 1 species